GGACAUGAAAACACAGCAGGCCCAACCUACUCAUCUGAUUGCUAUUGGGCAUCUGAAGGACCUUGCCCAGAUUAAGUGGACCGACGCUGGUGUCACCGUGGGUGCGGCAGUUACCCUCAAUGACCUUGAGAACCUGUGUCUGACCGCAAUUUCCAAACACGCAGAGCAUCCUUCUGAUCCUAAAGUGCGAGUAUUUCAUGCAUUGUUAGAGACACUACAGCGGUACGGAUCCCAGCAGAUUAGGAAUGUCGUUCGGCUUGGAGGGACCAUA